UGUACUGACGCUGAGCUCGAAAGCGUGGGGAGCAAACAGGAUUAGAUACCUGGUAGUCCACGCCGUAAACGAUGAGUGCUAAGUGUUAGGGGGUUCCGCCCUUUAGUGCUGCAGCUAACGCAUUAAGCACUCCGCUGGGGAGUACGACCGCAAGGUUGAAACUCAAAGGAAUUGACGGGGGCCCGCACAAGCGGUGGAGCAUGUGGUUUAAUUCGAAGCAACGCGAAAAACCUUACCAGGUCUUGACAUCCUUUGACCACUCUAGAGAUAGAGCUUUCCCUUCGGGGACAAAGUGACAGGUGGUGCAUGGUUGUCGUCAGCUCGUGUCGUGAGAUGUUGGGUUAAGUCCCGCAACGAGCGCAACCCUUAUUGUUAGUUGCCAUCAUUCAGUUGGGCACUCUAGCGAAACUGCCGGUGACAAACCGGAGGAAGGUGGGGAUGACGUCAAAUCAUCAUGCCCCUUAUGACCUGGGCUACACACGUGCUACAAUGGACAGUACAAUGAGCAGCGACACGGCGACGUGAAGCGAAUCUCAUAAAGCUGUUCUCAGUUCGGAUUGUAGGCUGCAACUCGCCUACAUGAAGCCGGAAUCGCUAGUAAUCGCGGAUCAGCACGCCGCGGUGAAUACGUUCCCGGGCCUUGUACACACCGCCCGUCACACCACGAAAGUUUGUAACACCCAAAGUCGGUGAGGUAACCUUCGGGAGCCAGCCGCCUAAGGUGGGAUAGAUGAUUGGGGUGAAGUCGUAACAAGGUAACCA
rnacentral:rRNA from 1 species